GCCUACGGGGCGCAGCAGUGAGGAAUAUUGGUCAAUGGGCUUACGCCUGAACCAGCCAAGUCGCGUGAGGGAAGACUGCCCUAUGGGUUGUAAACCUCUUUUGUCAGGGAGCAAUUGGCGCUACGUGUAGCGUUAUCGAGAGUACCUGAAGAAAAAGCAUCGGCUAACUCCGUGCCAGCAGCCGCGGUAAUACGGAGGAUGCGAGCGUUAUCCGGAUUUAUUGGGUUUAAAGGGUGCGUAGGCGGGCUGUUAAGUCAGCGGUCAAAUGUCGGGGCUCAACCCCGGCCUGCCGUUGAAACUGCAUC
rnacentral:rRNA from 1 species